rnacentral:rRNA from 1 species
AUUGAACGCUGGCGGAACGCUUUACACAUGCAAGUCGAACGGCAGCACGGACUUCGGUCUGGUGGCGAGUGACGAACGGGUGAGUAAUGUAUCGGAACGUGCCCAGUCGUGGGGGAUAACGUAGUGAAAAUUACGCUAAUACCGCAUACGAUCUAUGGAUGAAAGCGGGGGAUCGCAAGACCUCGCGCGAUUGGAGCGGCCGAUAUCAGAUUAGGUAGUUGGUGGGGUAAAGGCCCACCAGGCCAACGAUCUGUAGCUGGUCUGAGAGGACGACCAGCCACACUGGAACUGCGACACGGUCCAGACUCCUACGGGAGGCAGCAGUGGGGAAUUUUGGACAAUGGGCGAAAGCCUGAUCCAGCCAUUCCGCGUGCAGGAUGAAGGCCCUCGGGUUGUAAACUGCUUUUGUACAGAACGAAAAGGUUUCUACUAAUACUAGGAGCUCAUGACGGUACUGUAAGAAUAAGCACCGGCUAACUACGUGCCAGCCGCCGCCGUAA